GCGAGCAUGCGUGUGUGCAUGUGUAGGCCUAUAUAUUAAUCUAGUAUAUUGUUGAAGAGGUACAGGAGGUCCAGUAUAAGAAGGGUUUCUUUGGAAAACAGCAAGCUUGCAGAUAAGUGUCAGAUGUGGACUCUUGGCUGUCACUGCUGGCCAGGGCUUCAUAGUUAAAGUGUCUUUAUCCUGGAGUGAAACUACAGACGUGUUAAUAGUAUUGUUCAGGAAAGCAUUAGGGUGAGGAGAGCGACUCUCUUUACUGUUAAACCUUUCUAAGGUGCUGUAGGACAGAUGACAAAUUCCACUGAAGAAUCCGUGAAACUCACAGUAUGUGAUAUUUAAACAGGCUCAUUUGUAUAUCUGAUGGUUUUCCACAAUGAGACUGCAGGUUACAUUUUCUGGAGAUCCAGUCGACAAGGAAUCCAGCCAGGACGAGGAGUUGUGCCGCAUACUCCAAUCAGAUUUUUGAUGCGAUCUGCAAAGGUCAGCUGGACAUCAAAGACUACACGGAGAGGUUUUUGGCUGUUCUGAACUUCAAGAUCCGUCAGUCGUGAGAAAAGAUGCACUUUAAACUACUGAGGUAAGUUUCACUUUCAGGUUUUGAAUUGACUGUACUGAACGAGGCCGGACGAUCAGCUGCUAGCCGGGCUUUAUGAAACAAUGAUUCCCUUCAAAUAUUCAUUUAGUCUUUAAGUAUUUAAGAAACGCGACUGACAUUUGUGCUUUUUGGAUUUUUCUGCUUAAUGUAAUUUGACCAUGAAGAGAAGAACAGCUAUAACACAAACAAUACAUAACUAUUAAAUGAUGUUUCAAAUGACAAAACAUCAUAAUGCCAAAAUGAGAAAUACAUCUCUCAGUGUUUAUAAUUUCUGAAUCUAAGUUCACAAAAUACUUGACAAAUUGAUAUUGACUGCAGUUUUAUUUGUUUUUAUCUCUUCUAUCUUAAAAAGAAACUCUCUCUCAGGCAUUGUUUCAGAAUAGUCAAAACUUUUUAUAUGCACUUAUUGCCUUCCUAUGACAACUCGCUUUAUUGUUUUCUAAUCUUUGUAAGUCACUUUGGAUAAAAGUGUCUGCUAAAUGCAUAAAAACAGAGACAUUCAGAGCACAAUGUUCACGUUCAAGUCAUGUUUUCAUAUUUAACCCAAACCCAACGGCACCAAAACACAUUUCUGCACUUAAAUAAGACUUAAUGUCUGAAUGUCAUUGAUAACACAAAAAACUUUUGUAAACUAUCUCUCUGAGAUCAGUUGCUUUCAAACUGUUGAGAAAGGUUGAUGUUAGUAUGAUAACAGUAAAGAGAGAGUAACGCUGGGAUUUUACCUCACUGGAAAACUGGGAAAUUAUGAAGUGAUGCUGUCACUGUGAGGUUUUUAAUGCACUUAUAUAAUGUGACUAAAUUUAAUUCAAUUUUGUUAAGUGGUGCCACACAGAAUAAAUAGGCUUUUUGUACAGUAACAUUUAAUUUUACUAAAAUAUUAAUGCUGGUAUUGAUUGUCUUCGCAUCGUGUCUGACCGUGAGAGCAGUAAAUGAUGGGCUGGUAUGGGUUAGGGUUUCAUUAUGUUCUCUGUCACAAACAACACAAGACCAAACAAACAAAUAUGAAUAUAAGUCAGCUAUGGAAAUGAAUGCUGUGAAGUUUGUGUUGAACUCAUGGAUGUGAUUCUUCAUCUCUCACAUGUCUGAAGGGUGAACGCUUUCAUAUCCGCUGAUUUCGGGCAGUAAGUGAGAGAAAAUAGGAAACAAAGGAGGGAAAAUGUGUUACACAACUCUCCUGAUUUAUUCAUAUUUUAUUGUAUUACUCUGUGUUUUUGUUGUAUAUAUGUGUGUAUUAGAAGCGUCUGCUGUCUUAGAGAAAAAUAAAGUUCUUUCUGUUUAAUCGUGAUAUUACUUUAUUGUGCGCAUGUAAAUCCUUCAUUAAGAUAAAGGUAUCUUUUACUCUCUCCUUUUGUGUAUUUAGAUUGUAGUCGAUGAAUGUGACAUGUUUGUGUCUGUAACACAACUGAACCCACUUUAGUGUGCUACUGCCAUCUGCUGUUCAUCUGCCAAUCUAAUACAAGAUUUAGUUGUUUCAUUGAAUUCUGACGAUGCCAUUGGAGUCACAUCUCUGCCCGCUCCCCAGCCUGUCACACCCUAACGUGUGCUGCUUUCACUGGAGUUGGGUGGAGAGCUGAUGGGCCUGCAGGUGAAUUACUGGACUUGGCAGGGUGGAGAAAAGAAACGUGAAGGUGAGCGGAGAGAUGUGGGUUUUAAGAACACACUGAAGACUUCCUCUCUCUAAAGUUAGCACUGAAGAACUAAACCCUCCUCACAGUAUGGUCAUGACUGCAGUUACUUAAAAGAAAACAGGUUGCCAUCAUUUAGCGAUGGAUGGUACUGGAGGUGUGCAUUGAAGUUUUGCCGUGAAUUUAGAUGUCAUGUUUUAUUUACACUUUAAAUAGAAUUAUAUAUUUCACUUUUUAUUCUUAAA